rnacentral:rRNA from 1 species
AGCGAACGCUGGCGGCAGGCCUAACACAUGCAAGUCGAACGAACCUUUCGGGGUUAGUGGCGGACGGGUGAGUAACACGUGGGAACGUGCCUUUAGGUUCGGAAUAACUCAGGGAAACUUGUGCUAAUACCGAAUGUGCCCUUCGGGGGAAAGAUUAAUCGCCUUUAGAGCGGCCCGCGUCUGAUUAGCUAGUUGGUUGAGGUAAUGGCUCACCAAGGCGACGAUCAGUAGCUGGUCUGAGAGGAUGAUCAGCCACAUUGGGCUGAGACACGGCCCAAACUCCUACGGGAGGCAGCAGUGGGGAAUCUUGCGCAAUGGGCGAAAGCCUGACGCAGCCAUGCCGCGUGAAUGAUGAAGGUCUUAGGAUUGUAAAAUUCUUUCACCGGGGACGAUAAUGACGGUACCCGGAGAAGAAGCCCCGGCUAACUUCGUG